rnacentral:rRNA from 1 species
AUGGUGACCUCCACGAAGAAGACGAAGAAGUCCGGGGACAACAUCAACAACAAGCUGCAGCUUGUCAUGAAGAGCGGCAAGUACACGCUCGGCUACAAGACCGUCCUCAGGACCCUCAGGAACUCCAAGGCAAAGCUUGUGAUCCUUGCUAACAACUGCCCUCCGCUCCGCAAGUCUGAGAUUGAGUACUAUGCUAUGUUGGCGAAGAUCACUGUCCACCACUACCAUGGAAACAAUGUUGAUUUGGGAACUGCGUGUGGUAAAUACUUCCGAGUCUGCUGCCUGAGUAUCAUCGACCCUGGCGAUUCCGACAUCAUCAACGCAACACCAGCUGGCCAGUAA